rfam:Gorilla gorilla gorilla genomic chromosome, chr10, whole genome shotgun sequence
GCUGGGUGUGGUGGUGCAUACCUGUAGUCCCAGCUACUCGGGAGGCUGAGGUGGGAGGAUCACUUGAGUCCAGGAGGUUGAAGUUGCAGUGAGUGGAGGUUGCAGUGAACCAAGAUCACACCACUGCACUCCAGCCUGGACUACAAAGUGAGACCCUGUCUCUG